GCCUGAGAGACGGCCGCCACUUCCAAGGAAGGCAGCAGGCGCGCAAAUUACCCAAUCUCGACACGAGGAGGUAGUGACAAUAAAUAACAAUGCAGGACCCGACAAGGGCCUUGCAAUUGGAAUGAGUACAAUUUAAACCCCUUAACGAGGAACAAUUGGAGGACAAGUCUGGUGCCAGCACCCGCGGUAAUUCCAGCUCCAAUAGCAUAUAUUAAAGUUGUUGCAGUUAAAAAGCUCGUAGUUGGAUUUCGGGGGGAGACAAUUUUACAAAGGAAUCCGGUCUGCCCUCCUCCAAAAGAGGUAUUGGGUGUGUACUGAUUCCCUCCCCCUUCCUUCCGGUUUUUUUAUGCCUGGUGCUGACCUUAACUGGUUGGUGCCAUGGCUCCGGAUCGUUUACUUUGAAGAAAUUAGAGUGCUCAAAGCAGGCCUGCCGGCCAAUGAAUACAUCAGCAUGGGAUAAUGGAACAGGACGGGGCUUCCCUCUCACUCUUCCGUUGGUUCUCGAAGGGGCCCGGUAAUGAUUAAUAGAGACAGUUGGGGGCACUCAUAUUCCGCGGUCAGAGGUGAAAUUCUUGGAUUCGCGGAAGAUGAACUAGUGCGAAAGCAUUUGCCAAGGAUGUUUUCA
rnacentral:rRNA from 1 species